rnacentral:rRNA from 1 species
AUACGUAGGGAGCGAGCGUUGUCCGGAAUUACUGGGCGUAAAGGGCGCGUAGGCGGCGCUUCAAGUCGUCUGUCAAAUGGGAGGGCUUAACCCUUUUUCGCAGACGAAACUGGAGAGCUUGAGAAGCAGAGAGGCAAACAGAAUUCCUGGUGUAGCGGUGAAAUGCGUAGAUAUCAGGAAGAAUACCAGUGGCGAAGGCGGUUUGCUGGCUGCAUACUGACGCUGAAGCGCGAAAGCCAGGGGAGCAAACGGGAUUAGAUACCCCGGUAGUCCUGGCCGUAAACGAUGAAUGCUAGGUGUGGGUGUCGAGAGGCAUCCGUGCCGGAGUUAACGCGAUAAGCAUUCCGCCUGGGGAGUACGAUCGCAAGAUUGAAACUCAAAGGAAUUGGCGGGG